CCUGAGAAACCCGAAAGAUCGAAUGGGGAGAUUCAUCGUCAGCGAUCCCGGUACGUGUGCGGCUCGUGAUGUCCCGGGGCUCCGGUCCCGUGGCACGCGUCCGCAUGGCUUUAUUGCCGGGCGUCGCCGGCGUGCACUUCUCCCCUAGUAGGACAUCGCGACCCGUUGGGUGUCGGUCUACGGCCCGGGUGGGCGCCUGUCAUGUGUCACGCUUCACGGCGUCAUGUGGCAGACACCUGGAUGUCUGACCGGCUGCCCGGCGGUACUCGCAUGGUAUCGAGCCGCAAAUAUUCGAACUGCGUCCGGCCCGCCGCAAGCGAGGUCAGUGUUACCCGGAUGUGCGGACCUGGUGCCGUCACCGGGCCUGGCCAGCUGUUGGUCGGUGGUGUUCUGGGACUGGCUCUAAAUUAUAUUAUGAUACCGGUCGGCGAUGCUACUGCUUUGGGUACUUUCAGGA
rnacentral:rRNA from 1 species